CGUUAGUUCGAUGUCUGACUGGGAGGUGUUCUGUGCGUGUUCCUUUAACUCAAACAGCAAAUGACUACAUUGCCAAUUAACGUACUUGUUCGCGAGAGACGCAAUAUACGUAGUUAUACCGUGAAUAAAAAGAAUGCUUUGACAGAUGAUACGUGUCUCCGUUCGUGCUUCGCCAAAGCAAACGAAAUCGCGUCACGACGAUCGAAGGCAAACCGAUGACAAUGUAAAUUAUAUAUGCCACAUAUCGCUGUCAUGACACAUAAGACUAAUGAUGUCUCUGAUAAAUAAACAUGGGAGCAAAGUUAAUAUGGAUUACAAAGCUCGUCUUGAGUAUAAAUUGUAUCUGGCAAGGGAAAAUCCAGAACCUGUUUUUGAUAUCUCUGAAUGUGCCCUAAAACAUGUGCCACCUGGAAUUUAUUCGUUAUGCAAAGUCUUUAGGAAGAAAAUCCUAUGGAUGUAUUGUAAUAAAUUAUCUUCUCUUUCGGGUGGAGGUAACUUGAAUGAUCUAUCUUUGCUUACUAUCUUAGAUCUUCAUGGAAAUCAAUUUAAUACUUUGCCUCCUGACAUUAUGUGUCUUGUCUCACUCAAGGAAUUAUAUCUACAGGAAAAUAAUAUAAGCAAACUACCCAACGAAAUAGCACAUUUAAAUAAAUUAAUUAUCUUAAAUAUAUCAAGAAAUAAUUUGAUACAAUUACCAGAAGUAAUUGGUAAACUUCAGCAUCUUAUUACUUUGGAUAUUAGUUACAAUAAACCUCUUCAAAAACUCCCUAAAUCUUUGGGUUACCUACAAUUAAUAACAAGUUUAAAUAUUGAUGGAUUAAAAUUAUCUUAUCCACCUGGAGAUAUUUUGAGUGGGGGUACUAUUGUAAUCAUUGCAUUUUUAGCAAAUGAAUCUGGAAUUGAAUAUUCCCCUGAAGAUUCAGUUUUAGAUAAUGACUUGUCCAGAGAGACAAGCUCUGAAAAUGUACAAGCAAUAUACUAUGAUAAGAAUAGUGAUGUGCAGGAAACAUUGCAGCAGUUAGAAAAAGCAAAGGAGCAACGUCAAUUUGCAUUAUUAGAAUUAGAAAGAAAUAUAAAACAACAGAAAGAAUAUGAAAUUGAGGUUCAAUCUAUGUUAAAGUCACAUAAAAAGAAGCUGUUAAAAGACUUAGCCCUACAACAAACUCAGUUAGAACACAAAUUAGAAAAAGUACAAAAAGAAAGGGACACUAAUAGAGCACGUCUGCUUUCCUACAUUUCUAAUGCUGAAAAAGAAGCUGAUAAUGUAAUAAAAGAAUUUCUAAGAAAUAGUGAAGAAGAAAGGCAAACUCAAGCUGAACUAUUAGAACGAGAAGCACAAGAAGAAAUGCAAUUAUUAUCAUCUUGUCAUUCAGAACAAUUCUUAUUUCGUACAAAGGAUACACUUUUGGCAAUGGAAGAAUUAUUGGAAGAAGAAUUAUAUAGGACAAGAAAAUUUGAAGAACAUACAAACUACAAAAAUUAUACUGCACAAUCAUUAUUAUCUCUGGAAGUAAGGCAGAAUGAUCAUCUUGCACAAAUUGUACAAAAUCAAGAAAAGAGUAGACAAGAUCUUAUUGACAAAAUACGUCAAGAUGAAGUGUUGCAAAAGGUUGCAGUAGCAGCUUUAUUAGAACGAAGUGAUGCAAGAUCUUGGAGUAUUAUGCAACAAGUGAAUUUGGUCCAAUCACAAUUAGCUGCAUUAACUAAUAUAGAACUAGAAAGAAGAAAGUUUGAAAUAAACCAACAACUUAAUGAGAUUGCUGAACGAAGAGUAGCAUUAAGUGCUAUUCUUAUCAGUUUAUUAGAACAACAAAAAAAUAGAAGAGAUCAACUUCUGGAAACCAUUAAUCAUAUUGAACAAAAACGAUCUAGUAGUGAUUUGAGAAGAAGCAGUCAGUUUUGGUUAAUGCAGUACCAUUCAUUAAUGGAAACUCGUCCUCAGGGUUUAUUAGAAAUGCUAGAACCUACAUUAGUGCGGCAUGUUGCAAUUGCAGGAGCACUACACUGCCUACCUUUUUUGGCUACAUUACCAUCGUUAUUACCAAAUAUUAAUGAUGAACAGUUACAAGCUAUUGGUAUAACAAAUGAACGGGAUCGCGCUGCUAUAAAGAUGGCUGCUGAAAAUUAUUUGGCUGAAAUAAAAACAAAUGAAGAUAAUUCAUCAAUAUUGCCUUCUGCACCACCCGAGGAAGCUUCUACUAGUUAUAAUCAACCCGAACUUGAUAUUGGGAAAAGUAUUAAUACUGCUGAAUGUGUCGUUUGUCUUGAUUUACAGUGUGAAGUAAUUUUUCUACCAUGUGGACAUUUGUGUUGUUGCUCAAAUUGUGCAAAUAUGGUUUCAUCGAAGUGUCCCAUGUGCCGAAGUAUUAUAGAACGCAAAAUGAGAAUUUUAAAGCCAUAAGCCAUGAGAUGCCUUUUUUAAAAAAUUAGAGAACCAGUUACUGGUUAUUUUUAAGAUACAGUGUGAUCAUUUAUUUAUUAUGCAUUUCAUAUUUCUCUAUAACAAACUUCGUUAAUUUAAUUAAUAAAUUAGAUAUACAAUCUAACAUAAACUUUAUAAAAAUGUUCCUUUUAUAAAAGCAUCUAUGGUCAUAAUAAAAAAAUAAGAAUACUACAUAUUCAUAUACAUGUCUUUCUAAUGACUAAAAAUAUAAAUAAUUAAGAUGGAUGAAGUUUGCCAAAAUGACAUAAAUAUUACUCAAGUGAAAUUUAAAGAUUUAUAAUUUUUCUAUUAUUGAAAUAUAACUAAAUAUUGCUAAAUAAAAUGGUCUCUUCUAAUUAUGUUGUCUACAGAUUUUAUUUUUAGGAAUAAUCUAAAUAUGUGCAAUAUGAUAGUUUAUGUAUAUUAUUCAAUUGAAAAACUACUGGAAAUAGAUCACACAAAACAAAUUUAGAAAAAAUAGAUAUAAUUUUAUUCUAUUGUUUCUUAUAAAAAGUAAUAUUUUAAACAAGAAAAAAAAUUUGGAUAUUAUUUAAAAAAUUUCUCAUACAUAAUCAAAUAAUACAAAAAUUAUAUAUUUGGUUUGGAGAAACCAUACUAAAAUUGAAGAGCUAGGUUUUAUAUAUAAAAUAUUACUAUAACAUAUCAAUCUCCAAUAUACAUCACAUUUCUAUAACAAGAAUAAAUAUGUUAGUCAAAUUUUCUAAGUAAUCUAUAAAAGGUUGUAGAAUAAGAAAUAAUUUUGCAUUUAAGUCAAGUAUAAUGAAAAUUGAAUAAAUAGAUUAAGCUUCUAAUAUCUUAGUCUGUUACAAAAUUUUCAAGUUUUAUAUUAAAUGUGAUUCUAUAGUAAUAUAACUUUAUUUCUACAUGCUCUAUAAAUGAUAUUGAAUAUUUAAAUCAAAAAUAAGUAACCUAAGUUAAUUUCGAAAUUUAAUUUAUUCUAAUAAAAACGGCUAAAAAUAUAUAGAAUAAAAUGUUUGUAAACCAACAUUUGUAUGACAUUUUUAUAAAUAACUAAUAAUCAUUAUAGUAACUGUAAACAUUUCGUAUAAUAUUGAGAUAUAAGUUGGUUAUGUACAAAAUUAAUCUAU